UACGUAGGGUGCAAGCGUUGUCCGGAAUUAUUGGGCGUAAAGAGCUUGUAGGCGGUUUGUCGCGUCUGCUGUGAAAUUUCGGGGCUCAACCCCGAACUUGCAGUGGGUACGGGCAGACUAGAGUGUGGUAGGGGAGACUGGAAUUCCUGGUGUAGCGGUGAAAUGCGCAGAUAUCAGGAGGACACCGAUGGCGAAGGCAGGUCUCUGGGCCAUAACUGACGCUGAGACGCGAAAGCGUGGGGAGCGAACAGG
rnacentral:rRNA from 1 species